AGUUCAAAGUUCUUCAGCCGGAGCAUUAAACACAUGCUUCAAUCGAGCAAAUGAUUGGCAACGAACAGUUUUCAAAUAGAUGCAUCCAGGACUUCCGUGAUGGUAGCUCCAGACGGAAGUACACGGACAGGACAAUCGUGGUAGCUCGUCAACUAGAAAGGAGCCUGACGAAGGAGAAUGAGACGUCGAUGUAAAAUGUGUCAGUCGGAGCAUGUCUGACAACAAACUGCCGGAGGACUUCAGGCGAACUAGAGAAGAAGGAAGUAGAUAUCGUGCAAUAUCAACAUCAAUGGUACAUCAAAUUUUCCCAUAAUUCAAGCGCGUCAGAUAUACGACUGUAAGGCAACGUUGUUGUCUUGCGAGCAAGAAGCACAAGGUCCUCAGUGAUGUAAGUCACGAACGGCCUUCAGUGGUCCCUAUCGUUACAAAAUUCCAGCCGACUAGAUUCGCUUCGCGUUAACUUCUAUGUCUGACUAUUUAUGUGAUUUCAUGUGACCAUGUACACGUUGUAAUUUUCGAGGACAAAUGCAAACGAAAAUUGGUCACUGUAUUAUUUUCAAAAAAGUCCUAAAAUUAUAUUCGUACGCCUUCAAGCUUAUCAAUAUUGUCCUUUAUCUUGUAACCUGUUUUUAAAUGUUAAUUUCCCGUGGGACAUUCACCUACGCGCUGAUGAUUUAACGUUCUGCACAGCUGUGUAUCCGUCACGGAAAUAAGGAAUUCCCGGGGUAGUCAGGAUGACGUCUUCACCGACAUUAGUAUAUCGUUGACCUAUGGGAAAAAGCAUCGCGAUUUCUGCUGACUUGAUACGUAAUAACACCGGCAAUUACAGUUAAUUAACUCACUUCGCUAUUGUUGAUUAUGAACAUUUCAUAAUUGGAAAAUCGUAUAGUGUUACGUCUUUUUUUUAUUAAUUAAACGUAUGAUCGUGAGAAAUGACUUCUUGAAAAUGG
rnacentral:misc_RNA from 1 species